ACUGAGUGUUGUAUGCGGUAAUCUCUGGGCCGCGGAAUGGUGACGCCCGUCAUAUUCGCCUGGGACGGAGUUAUAUGGACGCUUGAACGGACUUUUCCUUGCCCUGCCGUACAGCCAUCCUCCAGGGCAGCAGCUCACUGCCUCAGACUGUGUUAUAGUUACCUAGGACUUGGAGCGCCUCAUCCAUCCUACUGGAUCUGGUAAAGAUCACGUGGUCCUGUUGGCGUUGUUGGGUGGUGACCUGCAGCCUGCACUGGGGCGGUUUGCAGCUGAGUGUGAAGCAGCCAGGAUGAGGAUCAGCACCUCAGUGUGAGGCCAUUAUUCUCGACUGAAAAAGGGUGGAUUACCAUUUCCUGGUGGGGGAUGAGUUGUUGCUUCAAGUGUAGGAGUUUAAGUACCUUGGAGUAAGAGAAGGGAACAGGAGAUCGACAGAUGGAUUGGUGCAUCAUGGGCAGUAAUGCAGACGUUGUACCAUUCUGUUAGGGUAGAGAGUUAACUGAGCCAGAAGGCAAAACUCUCAAUUUACCAGUUGAUCUAUGUUGCUACCUUCACUUAUGGUCAUUAGCUCUGGAUAGUGACAUAAAGAGUGAAACUGCAAGCAUGAGUGGCAGAAAUGAGUUUCCUCCAUAGGGUGUCUUGGCUUGAAGAGAGGGUGAGGAGCUCAAAGCAGUGCUACUGCUCCUCUGCAUUAAAAGGAGCCACUUGGUGUUUUGGGCAUCUGUCUAGAAUGCCUCCUGGAUGGCUACCUGGGGAGAUGUUUUGGGUAUGUUCAACUGGGAGGAGGCCCCAGGGCAGACCGAGGACACGCUGGAGUGAUCUCUUGGCCUGCCUGGAAAUGCUUUGGUAUUUCCUUGGUGGAGCUGGCUGGUGAGAGGGAGGUCUAGGCAUACCUACUUAGGCUGCUGUGCCGUGACCUGACCCCAGGUAAGCGGCGGAUAGUAGUUGGAUUGGAUGGGCUUUAGUAAAUAUUAAAUUGUGGAUAUAAAAUACCAAUUACAAAGAUGAUAUACAUUACUUUAAUCAUCAAAUUAUUAUACUGUUACAAAUUUAUUCUAGUUCUUCUCCC